UGCAAGAGAGGAUUCUGCGUUCUAGAUCCUCCCUGAUGUGUUGACUUGGGGACCUCAGCCCCAGAAAAGGGUGGGAUUUCAAAGACAUACCUGUACACUGGGUUCCCUGCUGGAUACAGCUAGGCAGAUCUGCCCAGUGUUUCUUGGCUAAGUCUCUGCAUUUCCAUGUGUGCUGCUCUUGGAACUUGCAUACCUAGCUUUGGCUUUUAGCUUCAGUUUUAGGGGCCAGCUGCCAAAAAAUAAGGCAGUCUCUUGAUUCUUCAAGUGUGCUUUUGUUGUAUGCAGCCCUCACGGUUACUUCUUGGUUAACUGGAGCAUUUGGCUCUUUACUUGGGUGAUGAAAAGAACAGCUGAGUGGAAUUCAGACUGUGCUCACACACCUGAUGCACCCAGUUCAUGACGUGACAGCUUUGCUGUUUGGUUUACAUGGAGUCAUUUAACAAAUGAAACUCCUACAAAUGCACAUUACCUUUCAUCUGGUCAAACAUACUAGAGGAACUUCGAGUAGACUGGGACUCAGCUAGCUGAAUUUGACAAAAGUUUUUAAAACCCUGUUUAUAGUUAAAAAAAAAACCCAAAAAACCCCAUAGGGACACUUGCAAAGUAGUAGUGAUGGAGUACACAGAUUGUAUGGAAUGAGAAGGAGGCAGCUCUCAUUUUAGGGGCUGACUGCAUGUGCGGAUAUGAGGAAGAACUGUUCCUGCUUGCACUCUUCAGUCAAGGGCUCUGAGUCUGCUUGGAUUCUCUUGCAAAGAUGGCCUCUGCUUUCUCAAAUCUCAGCUCAGAUUUAAUCAAAAAGGCCAUGAACUUUGACAGAUUACUUUCUGAAGAACCUGGUCUGAAUUUGGAAUUUGGAAUAAAGCUAGAAAUCAGUGUCACCCUGCCCAGCCUGUCUUGAAAAAUGAUUAAAUGGAAUGAUGAGCUGAAAAUCUAUUCUGGGGGAAGUGCUGUUGAAUUCAGUGAUCUAUUCCCAGCAUAACAGAUACUGCCGCCUUGUGAGAAGAUUUCCUGUGAAUUGAAGAAGAGUGUCAGCCCAAUAGAGCAGUUCCUUUAUCUACAUAUCUAAGCUUGUAUACAGCAACAGUUAUUGCAAAGCUCCCACUGACUUCAAUGGAAGCAGAAUAGACCCUUCAAAGCAAAAAAAAAAGAGAAACUGGGGAGCUGUCCAGCAAGAAGACAUAACAAAAUAUAGGAGCAGGUUUUCAAGCCUUCUAGAUUUGUAUACUUGGGAUAAAAGCCAGCUGCGCUGAGAGCAAAAUGGAUCUGUGCUGCUGUAUAUCAGAUACCAUGGGAAACGCAAUGUGAAGCAAUCACAGUAGGAGUAUCUGGCUCACUGAGAUCCAGCCUGAUUAUGAAGUAUCCCUAGUCUCCUUUCAAUCUAGAAAGUCACCCUGCAUUGGCUCAGAGGAGAGAUCAACCUUUCCUCACUGCUGUUCAGCUGUCCAGUGUGCAGCUUUGUGAGUUUGGAAAGCAAAAAGCUUUUUAAAAAUGAACUUCCUAAAGAUGUGAGCAUUAUGCAUCUUCCCUGGUCCCUGAGGUAAUGCCAGUGAACCAUCCACGGUGAUCUACCAAUGCUUGCAUAAGUAUGGCAAAAACCCCUAUUUCUAUUUACCAGUUUGAACUCAGAAAGAAACUGGAGGGCAGAGGACAGAAUGGGCGUGUGUGUCUUUGUCUCCACCCCAGUCCAGGAAGCCCACAGCUUUGAAUCUUGUUGGAUAUUGCCCAGAAUCAUAAUUGUUUGCAGCAAAGUGUGCUUAAUAGAUUUGUACAUGGGAUGAUACUGGCUCAACCACUAAACCAGUUGCCUGUUGGCUAACAGCUGUGGGGGGAUUGUGAGCUUACACAACUGGUUGGCUACUUGUUUCUCCAUUCCUGAUGUUCUCCUGUACUGAACAGCUGGGGUUAGUUCAACAGCAAUAGCUCUGUUCUGCAGCGUGCAGCUUGUCACCAAAAGCCUGUAGCACACGGCACUCUUCAUUCACUGCUCUCAUCAUCCACUUUGCCACUUAUUUUUCACAUUCACUGCUACACUGCUAGUGCUUGCAGUUCCAUGGGCUCAGAAGAAUCAUACACAUUGUCUCUAAAACAGACUCUGUUUCAGCACUGAUGUUUCUGCCAAUGGGGCAUCACAGAGAAUGAAAACAGGUGUAAAAAAAAAAAGUAAAUUAUGGAACGACCCAAAGGAAAUUUAAAACCUGAAGAAGAAUAGGGGAUGAAAUAGUGGGAACUUGAUCCCACAGUCCCCUGGUAUCCCACAAGACAAUGCAAAAAGUAGCAUGUCAGAUGACAGCAGAGGGGACAUUGCAGCAUGCCUUUCAUUGGUACAGCUAUUCACUAUGAGGCUGCCUUGCACUGGUAAAGGCAGCAAAGCAUGCACGCUGUCUAGUGAAACUGCUGCUCUACGCCGGCACGAAUGCUACUGUAAAACGAGGUAGACUUGACCUACAUGUGUGCAUUGGAGUCUGACUCCUCACAAUGUUGCUACUGGCAUUUGUACACUGUUUGAUUUAUUUGUGUGAAAUCAUAGAUAAAAAAUGUCCCACUGGCACCAGUGUCUAUACUGACCCUAAAACAGAUGGGAAUUUGAUUGGAUUUGUAACCUUUGAAGCCUUGAAAAGCUUUUAAGAUAAGAAAAUAUUUACAGGGGUUUUAUUAAGCCAAGAUCUGCUACAUAAUAAAUUAGUUGUGUUUAUAAACAUGCCUGUUUCCUUGGGAUCCAGCUUUCAACAUUCAUGCUUUAGAAACAAAAAUUAUGAGGCAUAUUUCCAUAGCACCUUUACAUUCCCAAAAUGCUUCAUUACCUCCAGACAUAGCUACAAAAAUGCAGCCACCUCUGGCAGAGAUAGCAGAAGAGAGCCAUGCUUCAGGUUGACCUGUAUCCUUGUGUAGUUCUCAAAUUCUUAGUACUAAGAGAUAGACAAGCACUACACAGGGCAUCAAAUCCUAAUAAUAUGUAGGAGUUCAUUUGUUUUACGGGGCUCUUGUCACCUUUAUCUAUAAUGGCAGAACAAGCUGGUAUAGAUGCCAAGAUCUAGGGGAGCAGCUCUUCAGGAAGAUAUCCCUUGGGAGGAUGAGGACCAAGGGGCACAAGCUACUCAAGGGAAAAUUUAGACUGGACAUAAGGAAAAAAAUCUUUUCCCGUAAAGAUAACUAGAAUCUGGAACACACGCCCAACAGAGGUGAUGCAGUCGCCAUCCUUGGAGGUGUGCAAGGGGAAGCUGG